rnacentral:siRNA from 1 species
AUCAAAAACAAUUAUUAAAUGCCA